CGGGCGUUAAGUUGCAGGGUAUAGACCCGAAACCCGGUGAUCUAGCCAUGGGCAGGUUGAAGGUUGGGUAACACUAACUGGAGGACCGAACCGACUAAUGUUGAAAAAUUAGCGGAUGACCUGUGGCUGGGGGUGAAAGGCCAAUCAAACCGGGAGAUAGCUGGUUCUCCCCGAAAGCUAUUUAGGUAGCGCCUCGUGAAUUCAUCUCCGGGGGUAGAGCACUGUUUCGGCUAGGGGGCCAUCCCGGCUUACCAACCCGAUGCAAACUGCGAAUACCGGAGAAUGUUAUCACGGGAGACACACGGCGGGUGCUAACGUCCGUCGUGAAGAGGGAAACAACCCAGACCGCCAGCUAAGGUCCCAAAGUCAUGGUUAAGUGGGAAACGAUGUGGGAAGGCCCAGACAGCCAGGAUGUUGGCUUAGAAGCAGCCAUCAUUUAAAGAAAGCGUAAUAGCUCACUGGUCGAGUCGGCCUGCGCGGAAGAUGUAACGGGGCUAAACCAUGCACCGAAGCUGCGGCAGCGACACUGUGUGUUGUUGGGUAGGGGAGCGUUCUGUAAGCCUGUGAAGGUGUGUCGUGAGGCAUGCUGGAGGUAUCAGAAGUGCGAAUGCUGACAUAAGUAACGAUAAAGCGGGUGAAAAGCCCGCUCGCCGGAAGACCAAGGGUUCCUGUCCAACGUUAAUCGGGGCAGGGUGAGUCGACCCCUAAGGCGAGGCCGAAAGGCGUAGUCGAUGGGAAACGGGUUAAUAUUCCCGUACUUGGUGUUACUGCGAAGGGGGGACGGAGAAGGCUAUGUUGGCCGGGCGACGGUUGUCCCGGUUUAAGCGUGUAGGUGUGUGUUCCAGGUAAAUCCGGUUCACUUUAACACUGAGGCGUGACGACGAGGCACUACGGUGCUGAAGCAACAAAUGCCCUGCUUCCAGGAAAAGCCUCUAAGCAUCAGGUAACAUCAAAUCGUACCCCAAACCGACACAGGUGGUCAGGUAGAGAAUACCAAGGCGCUUGAGAGAACUCGGGUGAAGGAACUAGGCAAAAUGGUGCCGUAACUUCGGGAGAAGGCACGCUGACACGUAGGUGAAGUGAUUUACUCAUGGAGCUGAAGUCAGUCGAAGAUACCAGCUGGCUGCAACUGUUUAUUAAAAACACAGCACUGUGCAAACACGAAAGUGGACGUAUACGGUGUGACGCCUGCCCGGUGCCGGAAGGUUAAUUGAUGGGGUCAGCGCAAGCGAAGCUCCUGAUCGAAGCCCCGGUAAACGGCGGCCGUAACUAUAACGGUCCUAAGGUAGCGAAAUUCCUUGUCGGGUAAGUUCCGACCUGCACGAAUGGCGUAAUGAUGGCCAGGCUGUCUCCACCCGAGACUCAGUGAAAUUGAACUC
rnacentral:rRNA from 2 species